CAAUUUACUAUGAAUGUACAAAUGCACAACCUUUGCGUUAGUGAUUUGAUGCUUCAACCAAUUAAGCUAAUGUAGAAGGCUUUUUGAAAUAUUCCGUUUCUUUCAGAAUUUAGAUUUGCACAUUCUUGUCUAUUAAGUUUUUCUUUUGAUUUCUUUUUCAAAAGUAAUGUCUCACUUUAUUGGGCGCAUGCCUUGCCUUGCACCUUAGGCUCUAGGAACCCCUUGCACUUUAGCUUUACUUCUCAUGGCACAAUAACCAAGGUCCAAUCCCACCCUCUCUUAUCUACAUGAUUGCCAACUGCACUAAUCUCUCUCUAGUCAAGGAAAAAAAACUAGAGAGUGCAUCAGCAUAAGGUCAUAAUGCCAUGAUCUCUGCAGUAGUGAAGUUUUAUAACAGCUGGAGCCAGAGAACAUAUGACUAAUCACGUCCUCUAUCUCUUAAAUCUCCUCCACAUCAUGGGUUGCCUUGGUUACUAAGAGAUCAUCCAUUGAAGUUCAAUUUCACUGCAUCUUAUUCUGGUGGAAACCAACUCUGAUGUACCCAUCUGCUGAGGAUCUAGAAGCAUGAUAUGAAACCCUGAUAAUGUUAUCCAUCAUGUUGUCCUUAAACUCCUCCCUAUUGCACAUCGCGAUGCACCAGACUUUGAUGAGGUCUAUCCGCUUUUCAUGCUGACAUUCUUUUGUUGAGAAAGACCAUCUCAUUCCUUUCCUCCUGAACUGUCCAUGGUACAACAGCUCUUAGACAUUGCAGAGAGGCUCAGUGACUUUGUAUUAUAUCAUUGAAUCAGGAGAAAAAGCUGGCUAAAUCCCCUCUUCUGCAUGCCUUGUUUCUUAAGAAAAGUUACAGCCUCUCUUUGAUUGCAUUGUGCUCUGCUCGAGUCAACAGUUUAGUACAGCGGGCAUUUAUCCUGGCACGGUGAGUGUGCACUGCAGUAGAUUAGACCUUUCAAUUGGAUAUCUUGAAUUAUUGUCUCUCAUCGAGUUGACGCCAGAACAGAACUUAGGUAUAAAUCCAAUAAUAUGUUUGAAGGACAAAUGCUUCUGCAGUGUGAUGAUCAUUAUGACACCUAGUGAUAAAAUCUGUCUGGUUUCAUGACUUAUGACAGCCUUGUUGCAUUUGUGUCAAGGUGAUAAAAAAAAUGCUCUUUCCCUUUC